rnacentral:rRNA from 1 species
ACGCUUGAAGUCAGUCGCGUUGUCCAGGGAUCAACCUUGCUUUUGCUUGGUGUACUUUCUGGUUAAUGGGUCAGCAUCAAUUUUGAUCAUUGGAAAAAGGUUAGGGGAAUGUGGCAUCUUUGGAUGUGUUAUAGCCCUUGAUUGUAUACAAUGGUUGGGAUUGAGGAACUCAGCACGCCGCAAGGCCGGGUUUGUUAACCACGUACGUGCUUAGGAUGCUGGCAUAAUGGCUUUAAUCGACCCGUCUUGAAACACGGACCAAGGAGUC